CCCUUAGAUGUUCUGGGCCGCACGCGCGCUACACUGAUGCAUUCAACGAGCCUAGCCUUGACCGAGAGGUCCGGGUAAUCUUUGAAACUGCAUCGUGAUGGGGCUAGAUUAUUGCAAUUAUUAAUCUUCAACGAGGAAUGCCUAGUAAGCGUGAUUCAUCAAAUCGCGUUGAUUACGUCCCUGCCCUUUGUACACACCGCCCGUCGCUCCUACCGAUUGAGUGUGUUGGUGAGGAGCUCGGAUUGGCAGCAGGUGGUGGUUCGCCACCGCCUAUUGCUGAGAAGUCCUCCAAACCGCCCCACUUAGAGGAAGGAGAANUCGUANCA
rnacentral:rRNA from 1 species